AUAGUGUCAUGUUUGUGGCCAAACAGAAACAUCUGGCUCUCCAGCUCCCUGCAGAGCUCCUGGUCAGCCUGUGAAGGUUUCCAGGCAAAUCACUGGGAAAAGCUGAAAUCUGCAACUUGACGGCAGACGUGGUUCUCCAUGAGGAUGGAAACUCCAAUCUCCACAGCAGAUCACAGGGCAAUAUACCUCGAAGCCCAAGAGGUCAUAAAUGUUGGUCACCCAAACUUCACCGGAAUCUUGGCAGCUAAAAAAUGUCUGCUUAGGAAACAAGGAGAUCUGAAGAUGUCUGCUAAAUUUUUCACCUGUCAAGUCAGAAAACCAAACUUCUGAUCUACUGCUCCACCUUAGGAAAUACUGUCUAAUACCUGUCAAACACUGCAGCUGGGGUCCCUGCCACAAAAACACAUGUGCAUCUAUCCCCAAAGUUAGAUCUGGAAGAGAGCCCUGGAUAAGGGUGGUGGUCUCCCAGAUGUACCUGAAGUAUUCCUCCCCUUAAUUGGGGGAGAAAAUAAUGCUUGGGUCCUGCUGAAACUGCUGCUGCUGUGCUUCUCCAGGUCCUCUCUGCCCCCACCAGAGGCUGACAGCUCUCCGGGGUCCCUCCACAGGGUGAGGCAGCCGGUGGUGGUGGCACAGAGCUCGGUGCUCUGCUGGACUCGGCUGCCCCAAGCCUGUCUCAUGGCAUCGCUGCGAAGCCUGGCACAGGUCCAGGGGUGGAACUGCCUUCAGGAGCUGACAUCUGCAGCAUGGGCACGAGCCCAUCGAUAUUUUACAUGGAGGUUGCUUGCAGUGGUUAAGUCAUUGACCUGGAUGACCUGGCAUCUCCCCAGCUCCCUCCACGUCCCGACGAUCCCUCUUUUCACCACGUGCUAUGGCACAAGCAGUGUCCUGAGGCUGCCUUUAGUCCCAGGCCCUUAUAAUCUGGUACUCUCCCUUUCCCACAAAAAGAAGCAGAUUGCAGCUCCUGUGGAAAUGGCAAGGCUUCACUUCUCUGGGCAAGUCUGGGAAGGAAAAAGAGAUUUUUAAUAACUGAAUAUUGAUUGCUCCCCUCUCAGAGCUGUGUGCGCUGCAGCAUUACAGCACAUGACCCCUCCUUUGUCUUUUUCAAAUGAAAUAAGCCUGCACUGGCUAGAGAAAUAGAUCAUACUUUCUCAUUAAUGAAAUAUUAAUUGUAUGUUUAUAUUUUGGUGUGGCCUAAAGUGAAUAUAAGUGCACAUAAAUAAAACAUUGCCAACUUUAAUAUAAGAUGGGGUUUUCUCACGCUUGUCUUAAAUGAGCUCAUUACACUGGAGAAGGUAAUAAAUAUUUGAUAUCAUAGCAUGUUAAUGAGGUGCUUGCUUGUGAAUUCAAAGUGUUUAGCAUAGUUUUCUCUCCCCUUCAAACAUGUUAUAUAGUGCAAACAUUUUGAA